CCCCUUUUCAUCCACCCGAUAAGCGCCUAUAUGAAUGUCGCCGGGGCUUGCUCCGGCUAUAGCAAUAAACGGUCGGUGUAAUAAACCUAUUGGACCCGGGGGCGGUACCCGGCGCCUCCACCAAAAACCGGUCGGUCUUCGUGACCGGCUUUUGAUGGGGGCGAAAUAGGAUCGACAAGGGCGUAAAGAUCGAACUUUUGCUCGGCAUGAUACCGCCGUUAUCGGGUCACAAGUGUAGUUGCAAAUGACAACAACGCUAAGGGUUAUGCUCUCGCUGCCUAAUGGCGGUGCGGGAAAUCCGAACCAAGUCCUCUAGGUUAGCCCCUUGAGGCGGGGUCCGAAGGCACCUGGCAACAGAAGCCUUCACC
rnacentral:tmRNA from 1 species